rnacentral:rRNA from 1 species
CUUACUGCUUGGGAACUGAUAGUCUAGAGUGAGGGAGAGGCAGAUGGAAUUGGUGGUGUAGGGGUAAAAUCCGUAGAUAUCACCAAGAAUACCCAUUGCGAAGGCGAUCUGCUGGAACUCAACUGACGCUAAGGCGCGAAAGCGUGGGGAGCAAACAGGAUUAGAUACCCUGGUAGUCCACGCCCUAAACGAUGUACACUAGUUGUUGGGGUGCUAGUCAUCUCAGUAAUGCAGCUAACGCAUUAAGUGUACCGCCUGGGGAGUACGGUCGCAAGAUUAAAACUCAAAGGAAUAGACGGGGACCCGCACAAGCGGUGGAGCAUGUGGUUUAAUUCGAAGAUACGCGAAGAACCUUACCUGGGCUUGAUAUCCUAAGAACCUUUUAGAGAUAAGAGGGUGCUAGCUUGCUAGAACUUAGAGACAGGUGCUGCACGGCUGUCGUCAGCUCGUGUCGUGAGAUGUUGGGUUAAGUCCCGCAACGAGCGCAACCCACGUAUUUAGUUGCUAACGGUUCGGCCGAGCACUCUAAAUAGACUGCCUUCGUAAGGAGGAGGAAGGUGUGGACGACGUCAAGUCAUCAUGGCCCUUAUGCCCAGGGCGACACACGUGCUACAAUGGCAUAUACAAUGAGACGCAAUACCGCGAGGUGGAGCAAAUCUAUAAAAUAUGUCCCAGUUCGGAUUGUUCUCUGCAACUCGAGAGCAUGAAGCCGGAAUCGCUAGUAAUCGUAGAUCAGCCAUGCUACGGUGAAUACGUUCCCGGGUCUUGUACUCACCGCCCGUCACACCAUGGGAGUUGAUUUCACUCGAAGCCGGAAUACUAACA